rnacentral:tRNA from 1 species
GCCUCUGUAGCUCAGUUGGUUAGAGCACUGCAUCGGCAUCGCAGGACAGCAGGUUCAAUUCCUGCUAGAGGGC